GCUAAUUAGGAUACACCUGAGACUCAUGGCUAAACCCAAUACAGUUUUUUCCCCAAGGGAUUAUUUUCUUAUAUACCAAAACUUAUAAAGAAAAAAAAUGAUUAAAAGAAAAACAUAAUCUCUUGAUAUAGAAAGUGGUGUAACCAUUUCAACUCAGAAGACCAGAAGGCCAAAGAAGCUCCGGAGAAAUCUCUGUGGAAGAUUCAACUGUUGUAAAGAAUGGAAAGACACAAAGCUGCUUGGAUCUCACAGCAAACAAAACCAGGAGAAGAAAAUUAGAGGUGGCCUCCACGCCAUUACGCCUUGGAAAGGAAGAAAGAAAAUCCGAGGCACCUCGGGCCGGGACACGCUGGACUCUCGCAGAGCUUUGCCUUGUGUGAGCAGAGUCGGCUUGUACAGAGUUAAGUCUCCCUGGGGCAGCUGGGGGAGGGCGGUGUAUUUAUCAGCUCUAUCUUUUUCUUUUCCCUGCCCUGCCCCACCUCAUAAGAGGGUAUGUGGUUGCUUCCUGGCUCAGAGAGAGCUUGGGCACAGAGGACCACCCAGGCUGCUUGGCCUGUGACCAGGCACAGCAGCAACUGCAGGGAGCGUGAGGUAGCCUUUGAAGUUUGGGGAUGAGUGGAUCAAGGCUAUUUUGGGUUUGACCUGAGGGAGCUCAUGCUUUGGGCAACCUUUCCCACAAUAUUUCCAUACAGGGGCAUCA